rnacentral:sRNA from 2 species
AACUUUCGCGAGCGUCGUGAAGACGAAGUCCGGUGAGAGUCCGGCACUGUCCCGCAACGGUCAAGCCAUCGCACCCUGGUGGACGAGUCCGGUCGAACUUCACGACCUGAACCGCAUCACCCUCGAGGACAGGGGUGGGUUCGUCC